UCAGUGGUGGUUCAGUGGUAGAAUUCUCACCUUCUAUGUGGGAGAUUCAGGUUCGAUUCCUGGCCAAGGCA
rnacentral:tRNA from 1 species